AUGAUUUAUUUUGGACCUCUUAACAAAAAGUGGAUACCAUCCGCACGUCGGACGUGCACGUGUACAGCCACCUGGAUCCCAUGGACACCAUAUGGACAAAAGGAGUGCAUGUGUAUGGGCACCUGGAAGUGGUUGCAAGAGCGACCAACAGAGGCGCCCUCGCGGCGGAAUGCAGUGGUGCUACGCGGUGCGCUCUUGUCGGUGACACCAUGCCUUCUCCCCGCCGGACGGCUGUUGGUCGGCACCGCACAUAGAAGAGUGGAGGGUUGUCGAUGGACAAUGGCGAGGAUGGGUGCGCCGCCCCAACCGCCGACGUCGCAGACUUUGAGGGCGUUGUCCAUGGGGAAAACAGCAUGCCCAAGAUCCCCGACGCAGUGGACGAGAUCGAGGUCCUUUGCGCAGCGAAGCGCAACUGGGAGGAGCGGCAGCUGCAGACCACGCAACUCCCGCACAUGCCGAUGCGCUAGGAGGCCGCGUGCAACAGCCUGCAGCCUCACCGUCGCCGACACGUGGCGAGUAGUGAUCCAAUCUGGAAGCGGUGACGGCGACGGCGGAAGCUUGAUCUGCUGGAUGGGGACGCCCUGGGGAAGCGGUGAUGGCGACGGCGGGAACUUGAUCUGGUGGAUCGGGACUCCCGUCGGCGCGGUCGAUGCGGGGCCGGAGCUGACCGGUGAUGGCUGCUGCAGUUGCAGCGGCUGCUGCGGCGGAGCGCCGGGCGCGGCGGAGGUCGCCAGGAGCGGUGGCUGCCACUGCAGCCAGGGCGGGGCGGUGGAUGGCAGCUGCUGCAGCGGCCCGAUGAGCGCGGCGGAGGCCACCUGGUGCGGCGGCUGCCACGGCAGCCAGGACGGGACGGUGGUGGCGGUGGAUGGCAGUUGCAGCGGCUGCUGUAGCAGCCCGACGAGCGCGGCGGAGGCCGCCUGGUGCGGCGGCUGCCACGACAGCCAGGACGGGGCGAUGGAUGGCAGCUGCAGCGGCUGCUGCAGCAGCCCGGCGAGCGCGGCGGGGGCCGCUUGGUGCGGCGGCUGCCACGGCAGCCACGGCGGCGCGGUGGCGGUGAUGGGCGGCACAGCCGGGUGCGGCCCAUAG
rnacentral:rRNA from 1 species